CGUGAACGCUGGCGGUAGGCCUAACACAUGCAAGUCGAACGGCAGCACAGUAAGAGCUUGCUCUUACGGGUGGCGAGUGGCGGACGGGUGAGGAAUACAUCGGAAUCUACUUUUUCGUGGGGGAUAACGUAGGGAAACUUACGCUAAUACCUCAUACGACCUACGGGUGAAAGCAGGGGAUAUUCGGACCUUGCGCGAUUGAAUGAGCCGAUGUCCGAUUAGCUAGUUGGCGGGGUAAAGGCCCACCAAGGCGACGAUCCGUAGCUGGUCUGAGAGGAUGAUCAGCCACACUGGAACUGAGACACGGUCCAGACUCCUACGGGAGGCAGCAGUGGGGAAUAUUGGACAAUGGGCGCAAGCCUGAUCCAGCCAUACCGCGUGGGUGAAGAAGGCCUUCGGGUUGUAAAGCCCUUUUGUUGGGAAAGAAAAGCAGCAGGUUAAUACCCCGCUGUUCUGACGGUACCCAAAGAAUAAGCACCGGCUAACUUCGUG
rnacentral:rRNA from 1 species